rnacentral:rRNA from 1 species
UGGGGAAUAUUGCACAAUGGGCGAAAGCCUGAUGCAGCAACGCCGCGUGCGGGAUGACGGCCUUCGGGUUGUAAACCGCUUUCAGCAGGGACGAAGGUUUUCUGACGGUACCUGCAGAAGAAGCACCGGCUAACUACGUGCCAGCAGCCGCGGUGAUACGUAGGGUGCGAGCGUUGUCCGGAAUUAUUGGGCGUAAAGAGCUUGUAGGCGGUCCGUUGCGUCGGAAGUGAAAACUCAGGGCUUAACCCCUGAGCCUGCUUUCGAUACGGGCGGACUUGAGGGAUGUAGGGAGAACGGAAUUCCUGGUGGAGCGGUGGAAUGCGCAGAUAUCAGGAGGAACACCAGUGGCGAAGGCGGUUCUCUGGACAUUUCCUGACGCUGAGAAGCGAAAGCGUGGGGAGCAAACAGGCUUAGAUACCCUGGUAGUCC